CCUGAAAAUUUAAAUAGGAUUAGUAAAUUAGUUUGGCUGAAACAAGCAUUGGAACCAUUAUGGAAAGCACAGCCCGUCUUAACUUGAUACAACGAUAAACGUUUACGUUACUUUAGUUCGUCUGAACGAAUUGUUAUGUACCGAUAUCAAGGUUUGCGGACAAAAAUUUUCAGGCGCUGCGGAAUGUUUGUUAAACGCUGGCAUAUUUCAUUAACUAAAAAUUUUUGAAGAACGACAGCUUCAAAUUUAGGAGGUGAUUAGAUUAGUUGAAAACCAAAGGAAAAGAGAGGAGUUUCUUAACUUUAGCUUCCGCCAAUGCGAUGGCCAUUCCACAAUCACGGUGAAUGCAACAAUACGGAGGAAA